rnacentral:rRNA from 1 species
UACGUAGGGCGCAAGCGUUGUCCGGAAUUAUUGGGCGUAAAGAGCUCGUAGGCGGCUUGUCACGUCGGGUGUGAAAAGCCCCGGGGCUUAACCCCGGGUCUGCAUUCGAUACGGGCUAGCUAGAGUGUGGUAGGGGAGAUCGGAAUUCCUGGUGUAGCGGUGAAAUGCGCAGAUAUCAGGAGGAACACCGGUGGCGAAGGCGGAUCUCUGGGCCAUUACUGACGCUGAGGCGCGAAAGCGUGGGGGAGCAAACAGG